rnacentral:rRNA from 1 species
AAACUCCGCCAUUUCUUUUGCGGAGGAAAAGUAGCCCAGCGAAGGUCCAAGUUCCGAGUCCUCCCUCCCUCUCUCCGUCCCCGUCUUCCUCCUCCCUCAAGCGACUGCUUCUCUCCACCGGCCGCGCCGCCCCACCGACCGGACCCAACCACCGCGGCACCGCUUGACGGCUCCCUCCCUCCGCCCGCCCGCUCCUCGGAACCACAGGUCGGGGGCGCUCGAUUCGGCGCGCUGCCACGCCGGAGACGCCUGCGUGGGUCUCGGUGAGAGCUCAGCUCGGCUCCCCUCCCCUACCGUGGUGCGGCAACGGACCUAGGGUUUACUGUUCAUCAGCAACAGGGUGAGGUGGCAGCUCCUGCUGCCCGGGAGUCAGGGGACGAGCCAGCUUAAUUCAGCGUCGGUGUCGGGGGGAUUUGGACUGAUCUGGGCGGUAGUAUGAUCAAGCAGAUCCUUGGGCGGUUCCCUAAGAAGCCGUCCAAGUCCGGGGACAAGGAUCCGAUCGGACGGUCAGGCGCCUCCGUGUCCAACCCUCCGAGAGGCGUGGAGAGGGCGGCAUCCGGCCACACGCCAAUUAUCUCCAGCUCUGGGCUCAGCUACGGAAGCGGCCAGCAGCAUCCGGGUAACGGAAACAACCCGAGGGUCAAUAAUGGCAAUUCGUCAGCCUUCGAGCUGCUGCCGGGCUUUAAGGACGUGCCCAACGCCGAGAAGAAUAACCUCUUUGUCAAGAAACUGAACCUGUGCUGCGUCACGUUUGACUUCAGCGACCCGACAAAGAGCAUCAAGGAGAAGGAAGUAAAACGACAAACUCUGUUGGAGCUCGUGGACUAUGUCGCCUCGGCCAAUCAGAAGUUUCCGGAGAUAGUUAUGCAGGAGACCACGAGGAUGGUUUCUGUGAACCUGUUCAGGACGCUGACUACCCCUCCCAGAGAGAACAACAUUUCAGCCUAUGAUUUGGAUGAGGACGAGCCUGUGAUGGAUCCUGCAUGGUCGCACUUGCAGAUUGUUUAUGAGUUGUUCUUGAGGUUCAUUCAGUCUCCGGAGACGGAUGCCAAGCUGGCUAAAAGGUACAUCGAUCAUUCGUUUGUUCUCAGGCUACUUGAUCUCUUUGACUCCGAAGACCCCAGGGAGAGAGAGUACCUCAAGAUGAUACUCCAUCGUGUCUAUGGAAAGUUCAUGGUUCAUCGGCCAGUCAUUAGGAAAGCCAUCAACAACACCUUCUACCAGUUCAUCUAUGAAACUGAAAAGCACAAUGGAAUUGCAGAGCUAUUGGAGAUCUUAGGGAGCAUCAUCAACGGGUUUGCGUUGCCACUUAAGGAAGAACACAAAUUGUUCCUUAUUAGGGCCUUGAUUCCACUUCACAAGCCAAAGUGCAUUGCAAUGUACCAUCAACAGUUGUCUUACUGCAUUACCCAGUUUGUUGAAAAAGAUUGUAAACUUUCAGACACAGUUAUCAGGGGCCUACUGAAAUAUUGGCCCAUCACAAACAGCACCAAGGAGGUGAUGUUUUUGGGAGAAUUAGAAGAGAUACUAGAAGCUACACAGCCUGCAGAGUUUCAGAAAUGCAUGGUUCCUCUUUUCCGCCAGAUUGCACGUUGUCUGAACAGUUCUCACUUUCAGGUUGCUGAGAGAUCAUUGUUUUUGUGGAACAAUGACCAUAUCGAGGGUUUGAUCAAACAAAACAGCAAGGUGAUAUUGCCUAUCAUAUUCCCUGCACUGGAGAGAAAUUCCAGCGGGCACUGGAACCCAGCUGUGCAAAGCCUCACUCUUAAUGUGCGCAAAUUGUUCUCUGAUCAUGACGCUGGACUGUACACCGAGUGUCUGCGGAAAUACGAAGAAGCCAAAGCCAAAGAGAAGGAGAACAAACUGAAGCAAGAAGCCACAUGGAAGCGCCUAGAAGAGAUCGCGUCAUCAAGAGCAACCAGCGGAGAGGCUGUGCUCGUCCAUCGAACCUUACCCCGUCAAUCUUCAGCUGUGUAGCUAAUUAUUCAAGCGGUAAAGAUGUUUCCCUUUUCUUUUCUUUUCUUUUUCUGCUGGGUAGUUUGUAGCCUGUGCAACUGUGUCUAAUGUAAGCAUUUCUUGAAUCAGUAGGGGUCCUCCAGAGAUUCGUGAAACAUUGUACAUGAUUGAAUUGUAUAUACAAGGUAUAUUAGGUGGGCAAAUCGACGGGAGAUCUGAGAAGCCAGGUGGUGGGUUAGGCGCAGCGCGGGAGCGUCAUAAUUUUCUCGGUCCUGAGCCUCGGCGGCUUCUCUCGGCAUGCUGAGAUCUGCGGUUCAUUGCUAUAUCCUUUAUCCUUGUCUGAAUUCGGUUACAGUCUGUUCCUCCCAUGGAAGGGUUUGUUGUGGAAGCAAAUGGUCGGUCGUUGGCGGUGGUUAGACCUCUAGUUAGAGAGGUAGAGAGAGGUCGGUCUUCAUUUCAAAACGAGUCAUGGUUGUUCUUGAGUCGGCAUGGUUGUAAAAAAUGGAAGCAGAGUUUUCUUUUCGUGUACAAUAUAACCAAAAUAUUUUCUCACAGAACGUGUGAGUUGCAUUCAUUCCAUUAUUAUUAUUACGGCGUUCUGUCUUGCUGGAAGAAAUAUGAGUUGGCCAUUUUAACCUGAAACUCUAGGAUACUCUUUAUUAAAAUUCUCUGUUCGUGGCCAUAGCGUGGACUACAUCUGUCUCACAAAUCACACUGGAUUCAGAACAAGGUGGUGGUCACAGUUCAACUGAAUUACAACAGCCGCCACAAGACUGCUGCUGAAUGCUGAAGAUGAUGAUGAUGCUGGCGCUCAGUUGCCGUGGCCUUUCCUGGCGGCGGCGAGCAGGGAGGCGAAGGAUGGGCGGAUGAAGGCGCCGGAGGCGUCGCGGAAGAACAUGCCGGCGACGACCUUGUACAUGGCCUCAGUCAUGUGGACGCCGUCCCAGUUGACGUAGCGGGCGGGCUGGGCGCAGGCGGCGGGGACCUCGGGCGAGCCGCAGGUGGAGAAGAUCUCGAAGUUGUAGGCGCCGCCGCCGGAGCCGCAGCAGGUCUUGAAGGGCUCGGCGAAGCCGUACCUGGCGGGGCUGCGCAUGACGGCGAGGUGGGCGGCGUAGUAGUCGGCGUAGGCGACGACGGCGCCCGGGUGGGCCUGCCGGAGCCGGUGGAUCCCGGCCUGGAGGUGGUGGUUGUGGUCCAUGCUCUGCUUGUUGACGGAGGCGACGCAGCUGAGGUUGUCC